CGGGGGCGAACCCUGGCGGCGAGCGGCGGACGGGUGAGUAAGGCAUCGGAAUCUGCCCUGAUGUGGGGGAUAACGUAGGGAAACUUACGCUAAUACCGCAUACGACCGAGAGGUGAAAGCGGGGGACCGAAAGGCCUCGCGCAGCAGGAUGAGCCGAUGUCCGAUUAGCUAGUUGGUGGGGUAAAGGCCUACCAAGGCGACGAUCGGUAGCUGGUCUGAGAGGAUGAUCAGCCACACUGGGACUGAGACACGGCCCAGACUCCUACGGGAGGCAGCAGUGGGGAAUAUUGGACAAUGGGGGCAACCCUGAUCCAGCAAUGCCGCGUGUGUGAAGAAGGCCUUCGGGUUGUAAAGCACUUUUAUCGGGAACGAAACACCGUGGGUUAAUACCCUGCGGGACUGACGGUACCCGAGGAAUAAGCACCGGCUAACUCCGUG
rnacentral:rRNA from 1 species